rnacentral:rRNA from 1 species
AUUGAACGCUGGCGGCAUGCCUAACACAUGCAAGUCGAGCGGAUGAAGGGAGCUUUUUCCUGGAUUCAGCGGCGGACGGGUGAGUAAUGCCUAGGAAUCUGCCUGGUAGUGGGGGAUAACGUCCGGAAACGGGCGCUAAUACCGCAUACGUCCUGAGGGUGAAAGUGGGGGAUCUUCGGACCGCACGCUAUCAGAUGAGCCUAGGUCGGAUUAGCUAGUUUGUGGGGUAAAGGCCUACCAAGGCGACGAUCCGUAACUGGUCUGAGAGGAUGAUCAGUCACACUGGAACGGAGACACGGUCCAGACUCCUACGGGAGGCAGCAGUGGGGAAUAUUGGGCAAUGGGCGAAAGCCUGAUCCAGCCAUGCCGCGUGUGUGAAGAAGGUCUUCGGAUUGUAAAGCACUUUAAGUUGGGAGGAAGGGCAGUAAGUUAAUACCUUGCUGUUUUGACGUUACCAACAGAAUAAGCACCGGCUAACUACGUG